GACGAACGCUGGCGGCGUGCUUAACACAUGCAAGUCGAACGGUGAAGCUCCAGCUUGCUGGAGUGGAUCAGUGGCGAACGGGUGAGUAACACGUGAGCAACCUGCCCCAGACUCUGGAAUAAGCGCUGGAAACGGCGUCUAAUACUGGAUACGAGAUCAAGCCGCAUGGUUAUGGUCUGGAAAGUUUUUCGGUUUGGGAUGGGCUCGCGGCCUAUCAGCUUGUUGGUGAGGUAAUGGCUCACCAAGGCGACGACGGGUAGCCGGCCUGAGAGGGCGACCGGCCACACUGGGGCUGAGACACGGCCCAGACUCCUACGGGAGGCAGCAGUGGGGAAUAUUGCACAAUGGGCGAAAGCCUGAUGCAGCGACGCCGCGUGAGGGAUGACGGCCUUCGGGUUGUAAACCUCUUUCAGCAGGGAAGAAGCGAAAGUGACGGUACCUGCAGAAGAAGCACCGGCUAACUACGUG
rnacentral:rRNA from 1 species